rnacentral:rRNA from 1 species
AGAGUUUGAUCCUGGCUCAGAAUUAACGCUGGCGGCAUGCGUAACACAUGCAAGUCGUACGAGAAAGCCCGGUUCGCCGGGCGAGUAAAGUGGCGCACGGGUGAGUAACGCGUGGGUAAUCUACCUCGGUCUGGGGGAUAACGCACCGAAAGGUACGCUAAUACCGUAUAAUCCGACGGAUCACAGGGUCUGUCGGGAAAGGUGGCCUCUACAUGUAAGCUACCGAACCGAGAUGAGCCCGCGUCCUAUUAGCUAGUUGGUGAGGUAAAGGCUCACCAAGGCGACGAUGGGUAGCUGGUCUGAGAGGACGGCCAGCCACACUGGAACUGGUACACGGUCCAGACUCCUACGGGAGGCAGCAGUGAGGAAUAUUGCGCAAUGGGGGAAACCCUGACGCAGCGAUGCCGCGUGGGUGAAGAAGGCCUUCGGGUCGUAAAGCCCUGUCAAACGGGAAGAAUAGCCUUGAGGUGAAUAUCCUCAGGGUGUGACGGUACCGUUGAAGGAAGCACCGGCUAACUCCGUGCCAGCAGCCGCGGUAAGACGGAGGGUGCGAGCGUUAUUCGGAUUUAUUGGGCGUAAAGAGCAUGUAGGCGGUCGGUCAAGUCUGAUGUGAAAGCCCGGGGCUUAACCUCGGAAGGGCGUUGGAAACUGGUCGACUUGAGUUCGGGAGAGGGAAGCGGAAUUCCGGGUGUAGAGGUGAAAUUCGUAGAUAUCCGGAGGAACACCGGUGGCGAAGGCGGCUUCCUGGACCGAAACUGACGCUGAGAUGCGAAAGCGUGGGGAGCAAACAGGAUUAGAUACCCUGGUAGUCCACGCGGUAAACGAUGGGCGCUAGGUGUGGGGGGUUUUUAAUCCCUCCGUGCCGCAGCUAACGCAUUAAGCGCCCCGCCUGGGGAGUACGGCCGCAAGGUUAAAACUCAAA